rnacentral:rRNA from 1 species
GAUGAACGCUGGCGGCGUGCCUAAUACAUGCAAGUCGAGCGAACAGAUGAGGAGCUUGCUCCUCUGACGUUAGCGGCGGACGGGUGAGUAACACGUGGAUAACCUACCUAUAAGACUGUGAUAACUUCGGGAAACCGGAGCUAAUACCGGAUAAUAUAUUGAACCGCAUGGUUCAAUAGUGAAAGACGGUUUUGCUGUCACUUAUAGAUGGAUCCGCGCCGCAUUAGCUAGUUGGUAAGGUAACGGCUUACCAAGGCAACGAUGCGUAGCCGACCUGAGAGGGGGAUAGGCGGCACGAGAGGGGAGACGGGGACAAGACGACUAAGAGAGGCAGCAGAAGGGAAGCUGAGGCAAUAGGGGGAAGCAUGACGGAGCAGCGACGCGUGAGUGAUGACGGUGUUCGGAGCGUAAAGAUCUGUUAUUGGGGGAGAACAAAUGUGGAAGUAACUGUGCACGUCUUGACGGUACCUGGUCAAGAAGCCACGGCUAACUACGUG